rnacentral:rRNA from 1 species
AGAGUUUGAUCCUGGCUCAGGACGAACGCUGGCGGCGUGCCUCAUACAUGCAAGUCGAGCGAAGGAUUUGGUAGCUUGCUACCAAAUGACUUAGCGGCGAACGGGUGAGUAACACGUGAGUAAUCUGCCCUUCAGACUGGGAUAACAGCGGGAAACUGCUGCUAAUACCAGAUAUUAUCUGACUGUCACAUGGCGGACAGAUGAAAAGCAUUGUGCUGAAGGAUGAACUCGCGCUUCAUUAGCUAGUUGGUAAGGUAACGGCUUACCAAGGCGACGAUGAAUAGCCGGCCUGAGAGGGUGAACGGCCACACAGGAACUGAGACACGGUCCUGACUCCUACGGGGGGCAGCAGUCGGGGAUAUUGCACAAUGGAGGAAACUCUGAUGCAGCGACGCCGCGUGAAUGAUGAAGGCCUUCGGGUCGUAAAAUUCUGAUGUGAGAGACGAAGAAAGUGACGGUAUCUCACCAGCAAGCACCGGCUAACUACGUGCCAGCAGCCGCGGUAAUACGUAGGGUGCAAGCGUUGUCCGGAAUCACUGGGCGUAAAGGGAGCGUAGGUGGUUAUACAAGUAUUUAGUAAAAGGCAUGGGCUUAACCGAUGUAAGCUAGAUAAACUGUAUAACUUGAGUGCAGUAGAGGUAAGCGGAAUUCCUAGUGUAGCGGUGAAAUGCGUAGAUAUUAGGAGGAACACCAGUGGCGAAGGCGGCUUACUGGGCUGUAACUGACACUGAGGCUCGAAAGCGUGGGGAGCAAACAGGAUUAGAUACCCUGGUAGUCCACGCUGUAAACGAUGAAUGCUAGGUGUCGGGGUUUAGAUACCUUCGGUGCUGCAGUUAACGCAAUAAGCAUUCCGCCUGGGGAGUACGAUCGCAAGAUUGAAACUCAAAGGAAUUGACGGGGGCCCGCACAAGCAGCGGAGCAUGUGGUUUAAUUCGACGCAACGCGAAGAACCUUACCAAGGCUUGACAUCCUCUGAUGUACCUAGAGAUAGGUUUCCCUACGGGGCAGAGAGACAGGUGGUGCACGGUUGUCGUCAGCUCGUGUCGUGAGAUGUUGGGUUAAGUCCCGCAACGAGCGCAACCCUUGUGUUUAGUUGCCAUCAUUAAGUUGGGGACUCUAGACAGACUGCCGGUGACAAACCGGAGGAAGGUGGGGAUGACGUCAAAUCAGCAUGCCCUUUAUGCCUUGGGCUACACACGUGCUACAAUGGUCUGUACAAAGAGAAGCGAAACCGCGAGGUGGAGCGGAUCUCAUAAAGCAGAUCUCAGUUCGGAUUGUAGGCUGAAACUCGCCUACAUGAAGUUGGAGUUGCUAGUAAUCGUAGGUCAGCAAUACUACGGUGAAUGCGUUCCCGGGCCUUGUACACACCGCCCGUCACACCACGAGAGUUGGUAACACCCGAAGCCGGUGACCUAACCGUAAGGAAGGAGCUGUCUAAGGUGGGAUCAGCGAUUGGGGUGAAGUCGUAACAAGGUAGCCGUAUCGGAAGGUGCGGCUGGAUCACCU